GGGCGUUGCGGUGGCCUACCAUGCAGUCGACGGCAGCACAGGAGAGCUUGCUCUCUGGGUGGCGAGUGGCGGACGGGUGAGGAAUACAUCGGAAUCUACCUUUUCGUGGGGGAUAACGUAGGGAAACUUACGCUAAUACCGCAUACGACCUUCGGGUGAAAGCAGGGGACCUUCGGGCCUUGCGCGGAUAGAUGAGCCGAUGUCGGAUUAGCUAGUUGGCGGGGUAAAGGCCCACCAAGGCGACGAUCCGUAGCUGGUCUGAGAGGAUGAUCAGCCACACUGGAACUGAGACACGGUCCAGACUCCUACGGGAGGCAGCAGUGGGGAAUAUUGGACAAUGGGCGCAAGCCUGAUCCAGCCAUACCGCGUGGGUGAAGAAGGCCUUCGGGUUGUAAAGCCCUUUUGUUGGGAAAGAAAAGCAGUCGGCUAAUACCCGGUUGUUCUGACGGUACCCAAAGAAUAAGCACCGGCUAACUUCGUGCCAGCAGCCGCGGUAAUACGAAGGGUGCAAGCGUUACUCGGAAUUACUGGGCGUAAAGCGUGCGUAGGUGGUUGUUUAAGUCUGUUGUGAAAGCCCUGGGCUCAACCUGGGAAUUGCAGUGGAUACUGGGCGACUAGAGUGUGGUAGAGGGUAGUGGAAUUCCCGGUGUAGCAGUGAAAUGCGUAGAGAUCGGGAGGAACAUCCAUGGCGAAGGCAGCUACCUGGACCAACACUGACACUGAGGCACGAAAGCGUGGGGAGCAAACAGGAUUAGAUACCCUGGUAGUCCACGCCCUAAACGAUGCGAACUGGAUGUUGGGUGCAAUUUGGCACGCAGUAUCGAAGCUAACGCGUUAAGUUCGCCGCCUGGGGAGUACGGUCGCAAGACUGAAACUCAAAGGAAUUGACGGGGGCCCGCACAAGCGGUGGAGUAUGUGGUUUAAUUCGAUGCAACGCGAAGAACCUUACCUGGUCUUGACAUGUCGAGAACUUUCCAGAGAUGGAUUGGUGCCUUCGGGAACUCGAACACAGGUGCUGCAUGGGCUGUCGUCAGCUCGUGUCGUGAGAUGUUGGGGUUUAAGU
rnacentral:rRNA from 1 species